rnacentral:rRNA from 1 species
CCUACGGGCGGCAGCAGUGAGGAAUAUUGGUCAAUGGACGAGAGUCUGAACCAGCCAAGUAGCGUGAAGGAUGACUGCCCUAUGGGUUGUAAACUUCUUUUAUAUGGGAAUAAAAUGCUCCACGUGUGGGACUUUGUAUGUACCGUAUGAAUAAGGACCGGCUAACUCCGUGCCAGCAGCCGCGGUAAUACGGAGGAUCCGAGCGUUAUCCGGAUUUAUUGGGUUUAAAGGGAGCGUAGGUGGCUUGUUAAGCUAGUUGUGAAAGGUUGCGGCUCAACCGUAAAAUUGCAGUUGAAACUGGCAGUCUUGAGUACGGGAGAGGUGGGCGGAAUUCGUGGUGUAGCGGUGAAAUGCUUAGAUAUCACGAAGAACUCCGAUUGCGAAGGCAGCUCGCUGGACUGCAACUGACGCUGAGGCUCGAAAGUGUGGGUAUCGAACAGGAUUAGAUACCCUUGUAGUC